CAGGAAGUCAUCCCUACUGAUGGAGCCUCUGCAGCCACCUUGGUCCUGGUCCACACCAGCAAUGUUGAUGCUGCCCUGCAGCCUGCCUAUCCCCUGGCUUAAUUCCAACUCCACGCAUGUGAUGAGCAGAAAAAAGAAAGUCACAUCUGGACCUCCGGCGGCAAGGGAGUCUGAGAAAGAUAGAUCUGAUCUGUGCAUGGUCAUCUUAACCCU
rnacentral:lncRNA from 1 species